rnacentral:rRNA from 1 species
GUAUGUUAAACGAGAAGACUUUAGAUAUGAUCCAGAGUACCACGGGACACGUGAAACCCUGUGGGAAGCAGGAGGGACCACCCUCCAAGGCUAAAUACUACCUAGUGACCGAUAGCGUAUAGUACCGUGAGGGAAAGGUGAAAAGAACCCCGGGAGGGGAGUGAAAUAGAACCUGAAACCCUGCACUUACAAGCUGUGGAAGCACAUUUCUUGUGUGACCGCGUACUUUUUGUAGAACGGGCCAACGAGUUACGUUAAGUAGCAAGGUUAAGCACUUAAGGUGCGGAGCCGUAGCGAAAGCGAGUUUUAACUGAGCGUUCAGUUACUUGACGUAGACCCGAAACCGGGCGACCUACCCAUGAGCAGGAUGAAGCGAAAGUAAAAUUUCGUGGAGGUCCGAACCCACGAGCGUUGAAAAGCUCGGGGAUGACUUGUGGGUAGCGGUGAAAUUCCAAUCGAGCCCGGAGAUAGCUGGUUCUCCCCGAAAUAGCUUUAGGGCUAGCCUCAAGGUGAGAGAUACGGAGGUAGAGCACUGAAUGUCCUAGGGGGUAUUGCACCUACCGAAGACUAUCAAACUCCGAAUGCCGUCAUCUUAUACUUGGGAGUCAGACUGUGGGUGAUAAGAUUCAUAGUCGAAAGGGCAACAGCCCAGAUCGUCAGCUAAGGUCCCUAAAUGUAAGUUAAGUGGUAAAGGAUGUGGGAUUGCACAGACAACCAGGAUGUUGGCUUAGAAGCAGCCACUCAUUCAAAGAGUGCGUAAUAGCUCACUGGUCGAGUGAUCCUGCGCCGAAGAUUUCCGGGGCUAAAACUU